CAGUAGCCGCGGGAAUACGUAGGUGGCAAGCGUUGUCCGGAAUUAUUGGGCGUAAAGGGCUCGCAGGCGGUUUCUUAAGUCUGAUGUGAAAGCCCCCGGCUCAACCGGGGAGGGUCAUUGGAAACCGGGAAACUUGAGUGCAGAAGAGGAGAGUGGAAUUCCACGUGUAGCGGUGAAAUGCGUAGAGAUGUGGAGGAACACCAGUGGCGAAGGCGACUCUCUGGUCUGUAACUGACGCUGAGGAGCGAAAGCGUGGGGAGCGAACAGGAUUAGAUACCCCGGUAGUCCCUGUCUCUUAUAC
rnacentral:rRNA from 1 species